rnacentral:rRNA from 1 species
GCGAAAACUUUACAAUGCUGGCAACAGCGAUAAGGGAACCUCGAGUGCCAGGUCACAAAUCUGGCUGUCGAGAUGCCUAAAAAGCAUUUCAUAGCAAGGGCCGGGCAAGACCGGUGCCAGCCGCCGCGGUAACACCGGCGGCUCGAGUGGUAACCGUUAUUAUUGGGUCUAAAGGGUCUGUAGCCGGCCGGAUAAGUCUCUUGGGAAAUCCAGCAGCUUAACUGUUGGGCUUUCAGGAGAUACUGUCUGGCUCGAGGCCGGGAGAGGUGAGAGGUACUUCAGGGGUAGGGGUGAAAUCUUGUAAUCCUUGAAGGACCACCAGUGGCGAAGGCGUCUCACCAGAACGGACCUGACGGCAAGGGACGAAAGCUAGGGGCACGAACC